CAACUUUCAACAAUGGAUCUCUUGGUUCUCGCAUCGAUGAAGAACGCAGCGAAAUGCGAUAAGUAAUGUGAAUUGCAGAUUUCAGUGAAUCAUCGAAUCUUUGAACGCACCUUGCGCCCCUUGGUAUUCCGAGGGGCAUGCCUGUUUGAGUGUCAUUA
rnacentral:rRNA from 1 species